rnacentral:rRNA from 1 species
ACGGCUCAGUAACACGUGGACAAUCUACUCUCGAGAGGCGCAUAACCUCGGGAAACUGAGGAUAAUACGCCGUAGGGGGGAUGUUCUGGAAUGACUCCUCCUCAUAGGAUGCCGAUCUGUUCUGGUCGGUUUUACUCGAGAAAGAGUCUGCGUCGGAUUAGGUAGACGUUAGGGUAACGGCCUAACGUGCCUACAAUCCGUACCGGCUAUGUGAGUAGGAGCCGGGAAAUGGAUACUGCGACAAAGAUCCAGGCCCUACGGGGCGCAGCAGGCGCGAAACCUUCGCAAUGUGCUAACGCAUGACGAGGGGACCCCAAGUGUUCCUGUACAGCAGGAACUUUUGCGGAGUGUAAAAAGCUCCGAGAAUAAGGGGUGGGCAAGACUGGCGCCAGCCCCCGCGGUAACACCAGCAACUCCAGUGGUAGCCACGUUUAUUGGGCUUAAAGCGUCCGUAGUCGGCUCGGAAAGUUCCUUGUGAAAUCCUGUGACUUAAUUACAGGGCUUGCAGGGAAUACUCCCGGGCUUGGAACCGGGAAAGGUCAGGGGAAUUCUUUGGGUAGCGGUGAAAUGCUAUAAUCCAAGGAAGACCACCAACAGCGAAGGCACCUGUCUCGAACGGGUUCGACGAUGAGGGACGAAAGCUAGGGGAGCAAACGGGAUUAGAUACCCCGGUAGUCCUAGCCGUAAACGAUGCGGGCUAAGUGUUUCCCGAACCUUGUGUUCGGGAAGCGUUGAAGGGAAACCGUUAAGCCCGCCGCC